rnacentral:rRNA from 1 species
UGGGGAAUAUUGCGCAAUGGGGGGAACCCUGACGCAGCCAUGCCGCGUGAAUGAAGAAGGCCUUAGGGUUGUAAAGUUCUUUCGGUAUUGAGGAAGGUUGAUGUGUUAAUAGCACAUCAAAUUGACGUUAAAUACAGAAGAAGCACCGGCUAACUCCGUGCCAACAGCCGCGGUAAUACGGAGGGUGCGAGCGUUAAUCGGAAUAACUGGGCGUAAAGGGCACGCAGGCGGUUAUUUAAGUGAGGUGUGAAAGCCCNGGGCUUAACCUGGGAAUUGCAUUUCAGACUGGGUAACUAGAGUACUUUAGGGAGGGGUAGAAUUCCACGUGUAGCGGUGAAAUGCGUAGAGAUGUGGAGGAAUACCGAAGGCGAAGGCAGCCCCUUGGGAAUGUACUGACGCUCAUGUGCGAAAGCGUGGGGAGCAAACAGGAUUAGAUACCCUGGUAGUCCACGCUGUAAACGCUGUCGAUUUGGGGGUUGGGGUUUAACUCUGGCGCCCGUAGCUAACGUGAUAAAUCGACCGCCUGGGGAGUACGGCCGCAAGGUUA